rnacentral:rRNA from 1 species
AUUGAACGCUGGCGGCAGGCCUAACACAUGCAAGUCGAGCGGGGUUUUCGGACCUAGCGGCGGACGGGUGAGUAAUGCGUAGGAAGCUACCCGAUAGAGGGGGAUACCAGUUGGAAACGACUGUUAAUACCGCAUAAUGUCUACGGACCAAAGUGUGGGACCUUCGGGCCACAUGCUAUCGGAUGCGCCUACGUGGGAUUAGCUAGUUGGUGAGGUAAUGGCUCACCAAGGCGGCGAUCCCUAGCUGGUUUGAGAGGAUGAUCAGCCACACUGGAACUGAGACACGGGCCAGACUCCUACGGGAGGCAGCAGUGGGGAAUAUUGGACAAUGGGCGCAAGCCUGAUCCAGCCAUGCCGCGUGUGUGAAGAAGGCCUUCGGGUUGUAAAGCACUUUCAGCAGGGAGGAAGCGUUGUGUGUUAAUAGUACACAGCGUGGACGUUACCUACAGAAGAAGCACCGGCUAACUCUGUGCCAGCCGCCGCGGUAACAC